GUGAAAUAAUAAACCAAUCAGAGUGCCUCUUCAGCUCAUCAUUCUCUUUAAGAGUAGACCAGGUGAGCUCUGACUUUGGUGGAUUGCUAUUGUAACGGUGCAGCUACCUGGACGUGUCAAACAAACUCUUCUCAGCAGAGGAAACUGAGCUGCUGGUUGACGCUGUGAAGGAGCUCCAGCAGCUCAUUUACGGGAACAGCAAUGUUAUUUUAUUUACUAUUCUGUUUAUUGUUGAUGCCAAGAUAGCGAUGAACGUCUGAUUGUUGGCAUCUGUCUAGGUUGUAUUCAGUCAGUGGAGCUCCUGUGUUUUCUGUUACCAAGAUAA